rnacentral:rRNA from 1 species
AACGAACGCUGGCGGCAUGCCUAACUCAUGCAAGUCGAACGAGACCUUCGGGUCUAGUGGCGCACGGGUGCGUAACGCGUGGGAACCUGCCCUUAGGCUCGGAAUAACUCCCCGAAAGGGGUGCUAAUACCGGAUAAUGUCUUCGGACCAAAGAUUUAUCGCCUUUGGAUGGGCCCGCGUUGAUUAGCUAGUUGGUAGGGUAAAAGCCUACCAAGGCGACGAUCCAUAGCUGGUCUGAGAGGAUGAUCAGCCACACUGGGACUGAGACACGGCCCAGACUCCUACGGGAGGCAGCAGUGGGGAAUAUUGGACAAUGGGCGAAAGCCUGAUCCAGCAAUGCCGCGUGAGUGAUGAAGGCCUUAGGGUUGUAAAGCUCUUUUACCCGGGAUGAUAAUGACAGUACCGGGAGAAUAAGCUCCGGCUAACUCCGUG